CACAUAAGAUUUGGAAGAGUCUUAGAGAAAAAAUGCCUUGGAAAUGCAAGCAAUUUAAUAGUGUGAAUUGCAUUUCAGGCUAUACCUCCCUUUGAAUUUGCUUUCAAAGAUGAGCGUAUCUCUUUUACUAUUCUGGAUGCUGUUAUCAGUCCACCUACAGUUCCAAAAGGGACCAUCUGCAAAGAGGUCAACGUUUAUCCAGCAGAAUGCCGGGGCCGAAGGUGUACCUACCGUGGGAAGUUGACAGCCGAUAUCAGCUGGGCAGUGAAUGGAAUCUCAAAAGGAAUCAUUAAGCAGUUUCUUGGCUAUGUUCCCAUCAUGGUGAAAUCCAAGCUUUGCAACUUAUAUAACCUUCCCCCACAAGCCCUCAUUGAGCACCAUGAGGAGGCAGAGGAAAUGGGGGGCUAUUUUAUAAUCAAUGGCAUUGAAAAAGUCAUCCGAAUGUUAAUUAUGCCUCGGAGAAAUUUUCCCAUUGCAAUGGUAAGACCAAAAUGGAAAACCAGAGGGCCUGGUUAUACUCAUUAUGGAGUUUCAAUGCACUGUGUGAGGGAAGAACAUUCCGCUGUCAA
rnacentral:sRNA from 1 species